UGAUUGCGGUUGCACAGAGCCUUAGAAGACCGGGCUUAAUAAAAAAAAUACGCCAGCGAAGCGGCAUAAAAAUUUUAUAGCCUCCGAUGGCGGUCUUCCAGGCGCGAGAGACGUAAAAUGCGUAAUGAUGCCGAGGAAUCGAAUAGGAAGGAAGGAAAAAGGGCUGUUAGGCACGUGCAAAUCGAUUCUGCGGUAGAACGACAAUUAUACGAUCCGAUGUGAAUAACAGACUGUUUCGAUUAAUCGUGCAAACACUCUCUAUUUCUCUUUUCCUUUUUCCUUUUAUUUAUCGUUGCAACACAUUUUUUAUUCAACAUAACACGUGAUUGAAUCACGCAUAUGGCAAAAGGUUAAGCGUGAAGAAUUUGAAUUGAAGGUUAAGUUUGGAUUAAAUGUUUGUAAGGUUAAAUUGAUAUAAGCAAUUUUAAAGGGAAGAAUUGCGAAAUAGUGGACGUGAAACAGUGUAGAUUGAUCGAUACGAUGUUACAUAAUUAUCUUUUAAUGUUGGAAAAUGAAGAAUCGAGCGACGGGGAAAAUCUUCGGAGGAGGAAGUCUGCGAGGAAAGGAAAUAACCGGCCGAUAUAUACGGAACUUUCGAGAUAUUUCCGUAAUUCGACUCGAAACUUUCGAAUUCCAAACUAGCUUUCGAUCGUCAGGGGACGAUCUCAUGAUUCCAAGAGAUUAAGAGAGCUCGGGAAUAAAGUGCAUCCAGCAAGAUUCUUCGAGAGGGAGAAAUUAUAAGAAAAGUAAUUGAAUAAGAGGGGGGAGGAGAACGUUUCGCGAUAACAGGAUAAAGCGUCUAUGCUUUUUCCGAUAUCUUAAACCUAUAAAUUUGAAAUGUUCGAUGAGGGGUAGGAUUAACAAGAAUUGAAUUAUUUUAUUCAUAUGCUGCGCCAUUAUCGUAAAUAUAUAAUAUAUUUUUCCUAUUAAGAAGUUUUAUUUUAAUUUGAUAGAAACGUUUCGAGAAAAAGAAAAGGAACACGUGUUAUUUAAAUUAUUUAAGAAUAGACGGUAUUUAUCGAAAGGAAGUAAAUAAAUAUUAUUUUUCAAUAAAUUACACUCGAAAACGCAUAAGAUUAUAAAAUAAAAGAAUCAAUUUCCGUGUGUUCGAAGAGUUUGCGCUGGCAAACGCGGUUCAAAAAUAUUUUCCUCUCCAAAAUAAAUAUUUUCUUGCCUAUAUAUUCUUCGGGGUAACAUUCAACUACGUUCCCAAUAGAAUCAAACCGCUGUUGGCGAAAUAUAGAACUAUAACGGAUUAAAUAAAUAUCUCCAAUAUAGCGUCUUAAAAUGAAACUUUUUAUCACUUUUUACAAACACCUUUUACACGUAUUUGUUUCAUCGAAACAUCGUACAUCUAUCUAUACCAUCGAGUACCAACAAUUUUUAUUCAAUAUCGAGUAUCGAUUCUUUUAUUAAUUUCAUUAUUGAUUCAAAACGAGCGCUAUAAAGUGCUAAUCGAUUAUUAAUUUCAAUGUAAAGAACAUCUUGACGUCUCAGUCAACAGGAUAUUAUGCCAGAAAAUUGCGUUAACCUCGUUAAAAUUAAAUCUUAUUUUUCCAUUUCAUAUUUUUGAAUUCCGUUAAGAUAUACAUUAAACGAUUCUAAAUUUUUAUCCAUUAUAUCGCGUCGUUCAUAAUUUAAUUAUUAACACGUGCGAGAAAAAAUUUCCAAUCAGAAACCGAAACACAUUUUUUGGCAGAGCAGUAACAUCUUCAACAUAACCUCUUCGAAGCUUUAUAGGAGAUGGAUUCUAGGUCGGGAAUAAAAGGAGGCAUGAGCCAAUAGUUUGUGACGUUUAGUUGUUUAUUAGCAUUGAUGAUGCCAUUUGCACGCUUUAUUCGUAGAACAGUUUUAUCCUUGAGCAGUGCAGGCAUUUUGAGAUUGGUCUAAUCGUUCACUUGCGUAAUAUGCAAUUUAACGCUGCGUUAAUUGAAGAAUAGGAAAAAAAAGAAAAAGAAAAAGAAAAAAAAAUUCUCACAAACGAGAGUGUUAACAACGUCAGCAUCGCGUCAUCUUGCUUGUUGGUUACUGUUACCGAUACUCGCAUGACGUAUGCAUCCUCCACAGUGCGUGAUGUGACGUGCUUAGGUAUCGAGUAUAUCGCUAUCAUAUGAUGUCUCUGGUUAUGUAUACUGUUUCUGACACGCGAUCACGUAUAUACAACACUCGAGAUUUCAACGUUUGUUAAGUGUUUGAUUUUAAUUCUUAAUCUUAAUCUUUUCUACAGUUUUUAUAAUUUUAAAUAAUUAACAUUUCGUGACGAGUAAUUAUUUGUAAUUAUUUGUAAUUAUACGAUUAAUCGAAGGAAUUUCUUCUUAAAUUAAAUUUUGCGAGUUGAAAAAAGGAAUUUUUUUAAAGAAAGAUUUUGAUAAUUUUCGCGAUUAUAAAUAGAAAUUUCGUGUAAGAAUAAAUCUCUUAUCAAAGUUUUGCGAAUGGUUUUCGAAUUUUUUUUUUUAAAAACAAAUUGAAACGGGAUUUAUUAUUUGUAACGAGAUUUCUCAUGCAUCGAAUUAGUCGCGAUAAGCGGGUCGUAAGUGGCCACAACAAUUCCAAUUACGUAAUUUAAUUUUACAGUACGUAAUUUAAUUUUAUAUCCGACGUAUAAAUUACGAAAUAAAAUUAAAUCUUCUCCUGUUAAAAA